rnacentral:rRNA from 1 species
UUGGGGUAUAAAGGGUCCGUAGCGGUCUAUCAAGUGGAAGGUGAAAUCCCCAUGGCUCAACCAUGGAACUGCCUUCCAAACUGAUAGACUUGAGGGCGGAAGAGGUCGGCGGAAUUCCCGGUGUAGCGGUGAAAAUGCGUAGAUAUCGGGAGGAACACCAGUAGCGAAGGCGGCCCGACUGGGGACGCUCCUGACGCUGAGGGACGAAAAGCUA